rnacentral:rRNA from 1 species
CAGUCGAGCGAAGCACUUUCUCGGAAGUUUUCGGAUGGAAGAGGGAAUGACUGAGCGGCGGACGGGUGAGUAACGCGUGGGGAACCUGCCUCAUACAGGGGAAUACCAGAUGGAAACGUCUGCUAAUGCCGCAUAAGCGCACACUGUGGCAUCACAGAGUGUGAAAAACUCCGGUGGUAUGAGAUGGCCCCGCGUCUGAUUAGGCAGUUGGCGGGGUAACGGCCCACCAAACCGACGAUCGGUAGCCGACCUGAGAGGGUGACCGGCCACAUUGGGACUGAGACACGGCCCAAACUCCUACGGGAGGCAGCAGUGGGGAAUAUUGCACAAUGGGGGAAACCCUGAUGCAGCGACGCCGCGUGGGUGACGAAGUAUUUCGGUAUGUAAAGCCCUAUCAGCAGGGAAGAAGAUGACAGUACCUGACUAAGAAGCCCCGGCUAACUACGUGCCAGCAGCCGCGGUAAUACGUAGGGGGCAAGCGUUAUCCGGAUUUACUGGGUGUAAAGGGAGCGUAGGUGGCAUGGCAAGCCAGAAGUGAAAACCCGGGGCUUAACCCCGCGGAUUGCUUUUGGAACUGUCAGGCUGGAGUGCAGGAGGGGCAGGCGGAAUUCCUGGUGUAGCGGUGAAAUGCGUAGAUAUCAGGAGGAACACCGGUGGCGAAGGCGGCCUGCUGGACUGUAACUGACACUGAGGCUCGAAAGCGUGGGGAGCAAACAGGAUUAGAUACCCUGGUAGUCCACGCCGUANACGAUGAAUACUAGGUGUCGGGGANCAAAGCUCCUCGGUGCCGCAGCAAACGCAGUA